rnacentral:lncRNA from 1 species
UGUGCUCGGGUCAACUUAUGAGCUUUCGUAAACUCGAUUAAGACUCGAAUAUAAUUAUAUACUAUAAUACCUGAGUGUUCAUGACAUGAAUGAUGUAUUUGAUGAUUAUAAAUUGAAUUGGCUAUGAUUGAAUUAUUUUUGUUUAAUCUAAGUAAUAAUUGUGUAUUUAUGAAGUAUUCUAUGUUUAUUUGAAAUAAUCAAUGUAAUUGAAUGCGUUCUGUUCCGGUUAUGACUAUAGCAUUCUGUAACUUGAGUCUGAUGGUCGGAUCAGAUUAUGGGUGUUACAGUUAAUAACCAAAUUUAACUUAAAAAAUGACCUAAUUAACAAAAAAAAUAUAAACGUUAAAGAGUUAAAUUUAUCAUUAUACCAAUCAUAAAAUACAAAAACUAGAUAUCCCAAAAUAAAUUUAAAAAAUAUAAUAUCCACCAUAAUAAAAUUUAAAUAUGUUUUUAAAAUUUGGUAGGAUUAAAUUAAUUUAGAUUUAGCUAAAAAUUUGUAAAAUAAAGUUACGAACUGAUUAAAAUUUGCAUUAAAAUACAUAAUUUCUUUUAUAAAGAAAUAAUCAACAAUAUGUACCAAAAUAAUUAACUUCUUGUGGAGAAAAUAAAAAUAAUUAACAUUAGGUUGGAGUGGUGAGUCCAAUUACAAACAUUAAGUUGGGGCGAAAUUGAAUAACAAAAUAAGUGUUUGCUCCGUCCUGAUUCUAGUUUAGCGUUGUGCUUAACUCUAUCCAAAUCCGUAAAAUCUUACUCUAAACUCAAUUUGGGUCGCACUUAUUAAACUAGACCGAUAACUUACUUAAUUAAUCGCACUUAAAAUCGUAACGAAAUACACCAUUGUUAAACCUAAAUUCUUGGUCUACUUGAGCGGGUUAAUAUGUAGUUGUCUUUAAAUUUUAUAUAAAAUUACUUAAUUGAAAUUUAAUUUUUUUUUAUUUAGUUACUACCUAAAUUUGUAUUUUGUCAUCUAUGUUAGUACCACAGUAUUACUAACAUUGUUAGUUUAUGCUAACGUGGCUCCGAUAACCAAUUCAAUUGUGACACGUGACAAACAUAAAUUAAAAUUUUCAAAAUAUUUAAAAAAGUGUAAAUUUGUUCACAUCAAAGAUGAAUUUGGAGAAGCAAGUGUCUAAAUUGUCCAAAUGCAUUUGAAUUUGGACACCUAUGUGUCCAUAUUCGUUAUAGACAUAUUAUUUAAUAAGCUCAAAUAAUAUCUCAUCCACGUAAUAGCCUAGAUGUCGUUAAUGGUUGGGUUGAGGGUCAUUUAAGAUUUAAAUAAUUAGCAAAGAAAGAAAGAAUUUUAGGUGAAUGAAGAACAUUAGCCGGCCCCAAAACUAAAACGAAAUUUUAGUCAAUAUGAUUUUUAUGGCUGGGAGUGUUGGGUUUUUAGAGAGGGAGAAGAGGAAGAAGAAAGGGAAAAAAAAUAAAUGUAUAAAAAUAAAAAAUAUUUAUUUAUUUUAUUUUGUGUCACCUGUUAAUAUAUCAUUGAACUUUAAAUUUAAAUGUAAAACAGAAUAAAAUUUUAAGUAUCUACUUUAAUAAAAUAAAAUAGAAAAAAAUGGAAAAAUAACAUAAUUUGAAUACCUAUCUUUAAGCCCUAAUUCGAAGACUUUUUCUUGUAAAAAGGAAGGAAAUGAUAACUUGACAUAAAAAUCAAAAUAAUUUUCCGCCAAUUGAAUUAAUGGAUAAUUUAUCCCUAAAAUAAUUAAAAAUCGAACUUAAACCAUUAAAAUCGUCUUUUAACUCUUCAGAUAAGCAAGAUCAUACAUAUUUAUGAUCUCUAAGAGGGUUUUGAGAGGUUGGCUUGUUUUGAGUGAACCUCUUCUUACAGUAUAGAUAAAGACAAAAAUUUAUUCUCAUAUCAUAGUACAUUCAUAGCUUGUCAAAUACAUCACACGCUAUUAAUACCAUACACCACAGACAACCCCUUUUUUUACUUUUUUUUUUCUUUUCAUUUUCUCCGCAUAUAAAAAUAAAGAUGAUACAAAUAUUUUGACAAGCCUUCACAUUCAUUCCAUGCACCUGCAAUAAAAAAUAUAUUCAUUUAUUUUAAAAAAUGAGAUCAAAACCUUUAUAUCUAUUUAACCUGCUACUAACUAAAAUAUUUUUUAUUAUAAUUAAAACGUAUUAAAAUAAAAGAAAUUAAAAUUUUCGUAAUAACUUCACAUUAAAAAUACUAUUAAUUCAUAAUUCCCCUUUGUUACUAGAUUUGCUAGGAUCUAGAAAAUGUUGCUGUUUUAACCAUUUUCUUGGUAGAAAAUUCCAUGCUUAAUCAACAAUAUAAGGUUAAAUUUAUUUCAAUUAUUAAAACGCCAUCAAGAUUUCUGCAUAUAAAAUAGCAAAAAAAUCCAAAAAAAUUUACCCGAUACCAUAAGGGAGAGGAAUACUAAGACGAUGAUGGAAGAUCUAAUCACUGUCGCUGCUGCUGCUGCUUUCAUGGCCAUCUUCAUGCUUCUUCUUCUCCUUCUUCUUUUUCUUUUCGCCCUCAUGACCAGGUUCAUGACCUCCCUCGCCGUGGAUCUUGUCCUUGAUCUUAUCCAUAAACCCUUCCUUGUGCUGCUCGCCGUGACCGUGACCGGCGGCCGCAGCGGCCCCAUAGCCAUGGCCGCCUUCGUGAUGAACUUCUCCCUUGUGCUCAGCGGCGCCAUAACCAUAGCCAUGGCCGCCUUCGUGAUGAACUUCUCCCUUGUGCUCAGCGGCGCCAUAACCAUGGCCAUGGCCGCCUUCGUGAUGAGCUUCUCCCUUGUGUUUCUCUUCUUCCUUCUUGUGCCCUCCCAUGUGAAGGGUUUCUUCGAUCUUGUGCAUGAUUCCCGACAUUUUUCUAUCUGGUUUUCUUCUUCUUGCUUUGUUUCUUUGAUAUUGCUUUGAAUAUGAGUGUGAAAAUACUUGAAGAUCUUGAUAGCUAUUUAUAGGCAACUUAAGGAAGGGGGAGUUUGUCACUUCCAGUGGAGCUAAAAAUAUGAUCUCAGAUUGAUCCGGUAUCCACGUAUAUAAUUGCAAUUACUUUAAUACCCUUUUCGUGUCCUGGACGCGUUGUGGAUUCGCCUUUUGCCACCUGCCAUCAGUAAGGUUUUAGCUUGAAAAUUAAGAUAGCAUAUUACUUUUAGAAAAAUAAAAAUAUAUCAUUCAUAUAAGUUUUUGAUAUAUUUAUCAUAUAUUCUAAGUUAUUGUAUAGAUUAAUAAUUAUUAAAUGAUUAAAUUUUUUUACCUUAAAUAAAUUAUUAAAAAUUUUAUAUUUACAUUAAAUUUAUCAUGCAUAAUUUAUAUGAAUAAAAUAUGAAUUAUAUUAAUUGAAUUAUUAAAAUAUUAAUCGUACGAAAAUAUACGUAAGAAAACUACUUUAAUUUGACACUAGUACAAGAGUGUAAUUAAGGGGAGCUGUGCCCUUGGCAACCCUCAUAAAAUGAAAAAAAAUUUAUUUAGACAUUUUAAAUUUAUAAAGAUAAAAUUACACUUUAAUUUCAUUAAAAUGAUAAAAAUAAUAAUUUUGAUCCUUCUAAAAGAAUUUUUUAAUUUUAUCUCUACACCAGUAUAAAUGGAUCUACUCCAUAAAUAUAUAUUAUGUUAAUACUUAUUUAGAAUAAUUAUUAAGAGUUUUCAUUUUCCUUUCGCUAUAAACGUAAACAGUAAACAUUAAAAUUAAAAUUUUAAAUUUUAAAUCCAUGCCAAUAAUCCAUAGAUCUAGACAUUGUUUAUUAGACUUAAUACACCUAUAAUUUUUUACAGUAUAUAAUCUAUAAUUUUUAGACUUUAGAACAAUUUUAUAUAUUUAUAAAAUUAAUAUGGUGUUUUUAAAUGAUUUGGUAUAAUCAUGAUGUUGAAGUAUUUUAGUAUUGCUAGACCCUGCCAUUUGGGAAUAAGUGAAUAGAAGAUGACCGACCAUUCAUUACGGGACAAUCCAUUACGCGGCUUUCCAUGCUACGGAUUUUGACAGCACUUCACGUUCCCUGACACGUGUCACCGUGUUAUCAUCCGAAUUAUAUAUCUUGAUAUUUGUGGUCCCCACUGAAACAAAAUAAACCUACCCUUGCUGAUGGGCCCUCGUCUCCUUCCAAUUUAACUUCUUGACUUAUCUCCAAUUGAAAAAGAUUGAGAGUGUUAAUCCCUUGUUGGUACGACACGUGGACAGAAACAGUUGUUUGCCGACAGAUAUUUGAGGUAUUUUAAUGUGUUCAAAUAUAUGCUCUUUUACGGUUUUAUUAUAAAAAUAAUAUUAGAAAACUAAUUAAUUAUAAAAAUAAGGUGAGAAACAAAUUAAUUAUAAAAUUAGAGUGUUUACUAUAAUAACUUUGAGUAACACUUGAUACAUUGACAAUACCAAUGAAUUUUAAAAAAAUUUUAACAAAUCAUUUUAAAAAAAAAUUUAUGGUGUCAUUGAGAUAUUAGCUGCACUAGUAAAUUUUUUUUAAAAAAAUUGAUAGCAAAAAAAAAAAAAGCUAAAAAGUUGAAAAAUAAUAAGAAAAGUUGAUUUGUGGUUCAAACACUAGCUUUUUCCUUACAUUUAGGGCAUUAAUGUUUUUUUUAUGUAUUUAAUGUCUUAAUAUCUUUUCUCUACAUUUAAUGUCACUCGCUAUAUUUAAUUCCUAAAACAACAAUUUUUUUAUUUAAUCAAGCACCAUGCUUGACACAUUGGUGGCAUCAAUUAAAAAAGUUUGUCAAAUUUUUUAAAAGUUCAUUAGUGCCACCAAUGUGUCAGGCGACACCUUACUGUAACAAACAUUUUAUUUUUGUAAUUAAUUUAUUCUCCAUUCUAUUUUUGUAAUUAAUUAUUUUUUUAAUAUUAUUUAUAUAAAAAAAAGUCAUUCUCUUACAUUGACAAUAAUGUCCAUGACAAUUGAGUUAAUGUUUAGUCAACGCCUCAGCGCAAUUUAUAAAAAUAUCAGGCUAUAUUUUGUUAAUCAUGAAUUUAAAAAAAUUUAAGAUGAAGUAAAAUUUUAAUACAUUAUUUAAAAAAAUUUAUAUAAUGCUUAAAAUUAUCUAUAAUUCCUUCUCAACUCCUAAAUAGAAAGAUAAAUGUUUUUUAAUACGCUCGAACUCAUAUCCUUUUACAUUGAUAAUAAUAUUUAUACCAAUCAAAUUAAGAUUCAAUCGACAAAAUAAAAUCAGUGAGUAUUUAUACUAUUUCGUCCAACGAAGUAAGAAAUAAAGGUACUCUUAUAGUUCAUCAUUAAAAUAUAAGAAUGUAUUUAUACAUAAAAGAAAAUUGAUGUAACAACUAAAAUGGAACUUUAGUGGUUUUGAUAAGUUAUAGAUAUUAGAAAUUAAGUCCUAUUAAGUUUAAAUCUUAGAAGAAUAAUUAAUUUUUUAAAAUUUAUUGAGUUUAAAUUAUGAAAAAAAAUAAAAACAUUCGUAAUUAUAUUUAUUAUUUUAUAAAAAAUGAUUUAUAAAGCCACUUUCUAAGUUGAUAUUAAUGUGAUUAGUUAAGUUAAAAGCUUAACUAUAAUAAAAUUACAUUUUUUGUGCAAGUCUAAAUUUGAAUAAGUGAAUGUACGAAAUAAUCCGUUUAAUAUUUAAAUAAAUAAAUAAACUGUUUAAAUACUACAAUUAACCUUAAAAUGAAAGUAAUUAAUUAAAUAAAUAUUAUUUUACUAAUAGGAUAAAAUAUUAAAAUGGUAUCUAAUAUUCCAAUAAUUUUAAAUAAUUUAAUUAUGAUAUACUCAUAUUUUGGGUGAAAUUUUUUUACUUAUACCAUAUAUAUAAAAUGGCUUAUAUGUCCCAAAAAAAAGUCUUUUAAGAAAUGUAAAAGAAUCAAUUAAAAUUUUAUAUUAAAUUUACACCUAAUUAAGCCUCUGUUGUUAAUUAAAAUAAUAAAUUAAGUCUCUCCAUUAAUUAUUUCUGUCAUUGACCAUGUUAACCGUUAAAAUAAAUUGACGGACCAACCAGAUGGUAAUAAGUGGCUACUUCUGGUUUAUUCUAUUAUUUUUCUCAUAAAAAUGAAUAAAAUUUCAGAAAAAAAUAUAAAAAAGGAAAAAAAUUAUCAAAAAUGUAAAAAUUAUUAAAUAUUAAAAAAAUAUGACAAUUGAUAUAAACUUAAAAAUUAUAAAAAUUAUAAAAUUAAUUAAACAGAUUUAAAAUUUUAUAAACACAUAUUAAAAUUCUAUAAAAGUCAUAAAAAUUAUAAAUAUAUAUGAAUUAUUAAAAGUAAUAAAAUUGAUAUAAACUUUUAAAAAUUAUUAAAAAAUCAUUAAAACUUGAAUAGGAUAAGAUCAAUUAGAUCGAAAAUUGGCAAAAGUAUUGGUUCGGAGAAAGCCAUUAGACUGGUUGACAUGGGAGCUAGACAGUUGAACCGAUUUUUUUAAUAUUUUAUUUAAUUGAAUUGGACGGAUCAGUCAAAUUUCAAACUGGUGGCCUUAUUGGUUCAAUCGCUGAUCCGUUUUUGAAAAGCUUGGUUAGAAUAUUUCAUUUUGACAUACGCUAAUGGUUAGGUAAUAAAAUUUUGGUUUGAUAAAAAUAUUAAUAAAAUAAUAAAAUUUGGUUAGAAUAUACCAAAAAGAAACUUGUAUUUAUCGUUUUUGUAAACUUUACAAUUAAAUUAUAAAUCUCAUAUGUUCGUUUAUUUUAUUAAAAAAUCUGUCAAACAACAUAAAAUAUUUAGAUAAAUUAAUAUUUAUUAUUUUAUAAAUAUAAGCUUUUAGUUAUUUUUUAAGUGAAUUAAUGUCCGAUUAAUUCAUAGUAUCAAUUCAAUUGGUGAUUAAAUUAUAAUAUAGAUAACAUAAUUUUAUAAAGAAAAUGUGUUAAUAAUUUUAUAAUAUUUUUUUAAUAUAUACUCUCUCUGUUUUAGGUUGAUAUUUGCGGGUCAAAUUUUUAAAUUUUGACCUCAGCAAUUUUAAAUAAUUUAGUUAAUUAAAUUUUAAAAAAAUACUUUUAUAAAGAAAAAUUAUUAAAAAGAAACAAAAGCAACCUAUUUCUUUGCUUUUUCUGAUUCUAUUUCAUCUUUAAAGUAGAAAGGAAAGACGUGUCAUCUCUUGGACUACACACUUUCAUAAUAUCUACCUGAAAAUGAAAUGUACCAUGUUUUAUCUUUUAUUGGACUUCACAUAAUUAUAUUCUCUAAUCUAAUCUUUAGAAUAUAUUUUGAUAUUUUAUUAAUUAAUAUUUCUCUAAUGUUUUCUAGGCAUAAACACUAAAAAUGAAACCAAACGGUGCCAAUGCAAAUUGUAGAUAUUAAAAUUUAACUCAAUCCCUAGCAUAAUGAAUGUCAAAAUGAGUUAAUAAAAAUUGAAGAAAAAAACGGAUGAUUUUAAAUUAGACCAAUCAAUAUAUCUAAUUAAAAUACGUAAUUUAAUAUUCAUUUGCAUAAACCCUAAUAUCCUAAAUUCUAAAAUUCUUAUCUUAAACCCUAAUAUUCAUACAUACAAUCAUUUAGUUGAAGAUUACAACAAAAUAACAAAAAAGAAUAUUAUUCGUCUGGUUAAUGCAUCACAUCUUCAUUCAUGAUCUAGGAUUGAUCUCUAUAUAUGUAAAGUCGGGACAUUCAUCAAGUUCCAUGCGUACAAUAACUAGGGCAACUUCAAAAAGAAUGCCUCUGCCUAGACCUCAACCUUGACCUUUGUCUCAACGUCGGCUAUGUUGUCUAGCUUCAACAGUUUCACCAUCGACUCAGCUUUACAACAACACAAUAAUAGAUUAUUCCCACCUAUAGCUUGGCCUCUUACGACAUAUUAGGCUUGUACUUCCCCGUUCUGCCUUCAACAUUGUGAAAUUGGAUGUUAAAUUUCAUGUAUAGGAACCUAUCCCGAUCAAUACAUAUAUGAUUUAUCGUUAACCCUAAACAGUUUCCUGUAAAUCACAAAUAUUGCAAAAUUACCAUCCUCAAUUAAUGCAACCUGUGGCCUAUGUGAAAGAUAAUUAGCCCAAUAUGCGUUGUGCCCAGCGUAUCUAAUGGCCCAAUUAUGCUCUGAUUAGGACGCAAAUAUGUAGGAUGAUAAUCAUUCCUCUUCUCUAAAUUUGUUAGAAUUUAUUGUGCCAUCCCAAACUGUUGUAAAUCCCACUGAUGCAAAAAAAACAUAUAAGCAACAUGCACACGUUAAAAACAUGAUUAUGCACACAUGCCCCAAUGGUAUUAUGACUACAAUCUCUUCUACUUGAUACGACAUCUACACGAAUUGCAAAAAUAAUAAAAGUGUUGCAUUUAAAUUUCACUAUAAGAUGAUAUUAAUUAAAGUAAACUUAACAAUAUAAAACACAAAUUAUCAAAUCAUUUCAUUCAACAUAAAUAUUUGCUCGUAUCACUAAGAUAUCUUCUUUUCAGUAAGUUGUAUGGUCAUGAUGCUCGAACCACUUAUUAAAAUAUACAAUGUCAGUACAUAUAUAAAGCAUUUAAAACAUAUUAGAUUUUAUAAUGUAUUCUUUUAAUUUUACCUUUUAACAAGAGGAAACUUUGAUUCUCAAAAGGGAUAGGUGCAAUCUAAAAAAGCUGAUACCUCCCUCACGAUUGUAAAAUCACAAGAUAGGCAUUUACUUCCUCAUCCCCACUUUACACACCUUAUAUAGAAAGGCCGAAAGGAUAGAAAACCUAACUAUAUUUUCCAUUUGUUUUGAAAUUAAAUAACUAUGGGAUAUACAUAAUAUGAACUUAAUUUGAAUCCCUUGGAAAUCGAAUUUAAGGUUGAUACUUAUUUCAGACGCUCGAUAAAGGAACCUCUAGGUUGUGCUUAAAACAUUUCGUUACUGGAAGAUUUUCCAUUAAAAUCCCCGUCAGCAACUCUACAUCUUCCAACAUUAUUAUUGCUUCACGAAUGAGAGAUGAAAAGAAGCAACUCAAUUUCUAGUGGUGUCAGAAAAUGUGAUUUCAAAACCCCAUUUCUGUAAACCGAGUUCGUAAAUAUUAAAUAUGAAUAUUUAAUAAGUUAAUAUUAAAAUAUAUUGAAAUUUGGUUAAGUAAUUUAGCCGAAAAAUGGUUAAUUAAAUCCCAAGGACUAAAUUAUAAAAUUCCAAUCGCUAAUUAGGAAAAGACUUAGGGACUUAGAUAGCAAUUAUCUAUAGGACCAAAAUGGUUAAUAGGUAAAUUUUAAAUAGUUGUUGGUGGAUGGUAAUGAUGGAUGUUAUUAAGCUUAAGUAAUUAGUGAAUUAAAUAAAACAUAAUUAAGUUUGUUAAUUAAGAUUAAUUAAAAUUUAAAUAUAGUAUAAAUAACAACUAACGUGGGAAGAAAGAUGAAAUAUCAUCAUCUUCUUCCCCAAAACCAUUGAAGCAAAGGAAAAAUUAAAGGAGAAAGCUUUAGGUAUUUAAACAUUCGACCAUUUAUUUCCAAGUAAGUCACUAUCCAUUUUUCUUUGAUUUUAUAGAUUUAUGGUCAUGGGAGCUUGAUUUAGCUAGCUCGUGUAUCAAUUUGUUCAAUUGUUGAAAUUUUGAUAAGUUUCCAUUGUUGAUAAUUUGAGGAACUAGGGCUUGAAAUUGAUAAAAAUUUAGCUUAAACUAUGAAAAGGACUAAAAUGUAAAGCUUAAUAAGCUUAGUUGUUAACUUUGUUACAUUAAAGACCAAAUUGAAUAAAAUGAAAACCUGCUAUGAAAUUAUGUUAGGAAUAAAAAGUAUAAAGUCCCUAGUGAGUAAAUGUAAAAUCAACUUUUAAUCUGAAGCUAUAUAAUGAAAGUUAUGCUUAUCCCGAGUUUAAGGACUAAUUGAAUAAAAUAUAAAAUAUGAUUGGCUUUAUAUUUGAAUGCGAAUAGGAUGAAAAUUGAUAUUGUGUAUUUUCUGAAUUAUUAUUCGUAGCUAAAUACGAUACUAGACCAUCAAGAGGGAAAUGAAAAGUGAUAGUCAACGAUAAGUGACGCAAGAUUUCAAUUUGUAUUUCUAUGAUUCGAGAUCAAAUUAAUUAUUGCAUAUUCAUAUUAAAUUGCAUGAUUUAGUAAUGAGGUGAGUACAUAAUGGUUGUUUGAAUAGAAUUACUAUGAUUGGAGUCGAAUACCGAAAUUGUGGACUAAAUUGAGUAGAAUAGAAAGUAGCAUGACAUGAUUGAUAUGUGAUAUAAAAUGGAAUUGAAAUAUGUUAUAUGUUAUGAUGAAUUGGUAAAAUGAUAUGAAAUUAGAAUGAUGAAAUGUGAAUUCAAUCAUAUAACGAAAUUGGAAAAUUGGUUACCCUAUUAGUUGUUCAGACUGGGUUGGAUAUAAUUGGCAUGCCAUAAGGACAAAUAUUGAUAGAAAAUAUCAUUUUCGGGCAUCUCAGGGUGAUAAUAUGUACAUAUUUCAAAGUCAUCAUUCCCGGGAAACCCGGGGUGACUAGUCUGUUUAUUCGUUCUAAGUCCGUGUCUAGUUAAUGGGUUUAUAAAAACAUGAAUAGACUAUAUGAUAUAUGAAAUGAAAUGUAGUUGAAUUGUGAUAUAUGAUAGCUUGUGAAAGAUCACGCAAAAUGAGUUGAAAACAAGCCCUAGGGGCCGAUUGAGUAUUAAUGAGCCAAUAGGCUAAAAAAUGAUUGAAAUGCAGAGAUGAAAUUGAGUAUAUGUGUAUAUAUGUUGAUGACGGUAAAUGAAUAAGUAUAUGUGCCUAUAGAUGACAAUAUGAAUUGAUUAACUUCACGUUUGGUUGAGGGGAAUGGAAUAGCUAUUCCCUCUUUAUUCUUGGAUGAAUAGUGGGGUUGUAGUUUGGUUUACUGUUCUCUUCAUUCAGCCGAAUUACUAGUCCUUUCCCAUUCUUCUGAUUUACCGAAUCAUCAUUCAGUGAAGGGGGCUAAAAAUAGCCCAUUCAACAACAUAUGUAAUAGCAAAAUUUUGUCCCAGGCAAUUUUACCCUGUAUAUGUUCACUCGUCGAUUCUGUCGUAACAGUGGUGUCUCCCCAGAUUUCGUGGUUGAGAAUCAUCGAUUUAUCUCCAACUCGUUCACCCAAUUCCCAUCUCUCUUCUGGUUGGACUUUUUGCUCUGUGCUAGAACGCUCCUUCCUGGUCUGCCUCAAAUCUACCACACCGCUAAGGUUUUUAGUUUGCCGUGAAAAUACAUCUUCAAUGUUCAAGAUCCAGGGACACACAUGGUACGUCUCCAUUUCCUUAGAUUCAAUUCAUUGAGAUUAGAUAUGGGUAACUAUCGGUUUCACAUUUUGGUUAAUGGGUUAGUAGCUUGAACCAAUUUUAGCGAUGGGGAUUUAGUAAAUCCUAAAAUUAUAGAAUAUUUUCUUUGGGUUAAUUUAGAAAAGCUUGAAAUUCAUUUCAUUCUGGCUGCUGGGGUUGUUAGUUUUAAAGGUCAUCUCUUUCACCUUUUUUCUUCUUCUUUGCUUCUCUAUUCUCUUUAUUUUUUAAAUUGUUCUGGCGAUGGUGUUGUCAGUUUGAUCAAUUUGGUAUUUGGGUUUGUUUUCAGGUAAUGGAGGCUUUUGAAUCGUUGGGUUAGUGUGGUGAGAAUGAUGAAGCGAAACAAAUGGUGGUGGUGAUUUUAGGGUAAUGAUCAAGUAAUAAUGGUGCGGUGAAGAUCAGAGGAAGUGGUAGAGCUUGGGAGCAGGCUAUGGUGCGGUGAAUGGAGUAAUAAUAUGUAUUUAUAUAAUAUUUUUAUCAAAACAUUUAUAUAAUUAAUAUUAAAAAUAAAAAAUUAUUAUAUAAAUUAUUAUUUAAUUAUAUUUUUUAUUAUUAGUAAUUAUUUAAUUUAAUGAAAAAUAUAAUUCAAUUUAAAUAUUUUUACAAUAUAGUAUAAUAUAUUUAAAAUAUUUUUUUAUUUCUAAAGGUAAAAUUAUCAUUUGUGAUUUAUUCCAUAUUUAUUCCUCUCAACCAAAUGCAUGAAUACUAUUAUAAUACUCAUUCCAUCCAUCCAACCAAAUCACUAUUAUGCCUAUUCAAUUCCAUUACAGCCCUAUUCCUUUUUCACAUAAUGGUUAUCCCAUUACACCCUUAUUCCAUUAAAUGAACCAAAUGUGUCAUAAGUAGACCUGUCCAUGGGUCGGGCGGCCCGGCCCGGCCCGAUGGCCCGCCCGGAAUAUGGGAGGGUUCGGGUAAAAAUAUAGGCCCGAAAUAUGGGCUUGGGCAAAAAAUGAGGCCCGUUUAGAAAACGGGCCGGGCCUCGGGUAAAAAAAUUUUGGCCCGGGCCCGGCCCGGCCCGAAAUAUAUUAAAUAUAUUUUUUUUAUUUUUAAAAUAUAAUAGUUAAUUUUAGUUUUAACUUUAACUUUUUAGUUUUUAGUUUUAUUUUUCACUUUCCCACGUCGACCGUCUGUCUUCAAAAUUCCAAAAUCCCUAACCCUGUGCCUUCUAAAAUCCCUAACCCCAUCUGUCUGUCUCCACCGAUUCUAAAUCACCGAUCCACCUCCACCGUUAAGACCUCCACCGAUCCACCUUCGGUUCUCCAACAGAAUCGUAUUUAAGGUAAACCCUAAACCUUUCGACCUCCAUGGCUGUUCUACUUCUCAAAAUCCCCCUUUUGUGUGUGUGUGUUUAGAUCAGAUGAGUGAAUUUCCAGGAAAACCCCGAUUCAAGUUUCCUGGACAUAGAUUUAUGAACAAAGAAAAAGAAAAAAAUGGAACCAUUAGAGUAUGAAGGGGGAGAGUGAUGAAAGAGUGGGUUCUUUUUUGGUCAGCUUUAAAAUAGGGGAGAGUUAAAAUUAUAAGCAAAGGAAUAGGGUAUGGAUAUGGGGUUUGAUGAGCUGUGGGUUGCGUACCGAUGUGUGAUUGUCCUUUGGUCUUUUUGAUUCACCUUAAUUUUGUCUAAUUGUUUGAAGGUUGUUUUUUUUUUCCAUGCCAAGCCACUGUCUUCAAUGAAAGAAAUUUGUUUUGGUGUUUAGGAAUUUCGGCUAAAAACACCAAAAUUUAUAGAAACAACUUUCUUCCUUAAAAUAUGCUAUUAGUUCAUGUAAUUCUUAUAGUUUAAAAUUAAAAAUUUUAGUUUGAUUAUUAUUAUCAUUCAUAGUACUAGUUUCCUUUGAAAAUUUUCAAUUUAUUAUGUUUAAUUUCCAUUAAUCAUACACCACAUCAUUUGAUGGUAGCUUAAUCAAUGAUGUUUAAAAUUAUAUAUAAACAAUGAUUAAUUUUAGAUAUCAGCCUACUUAUUAAUACACGCACAACUGUUUAUAAUCAUAAUCUAUAAAACAUGAAAUUCAAUAUUUUAAUUUUAAUUUUAAUUUUAAUUAAAAACGGGCCGGGCCGGGCCGGGCUCGGGUUUCAUAUUUUUUCCCCGGGCCGGGCCUGGGCAAAAUCUCAGGCCUAUAUUUCGGGCCGGGCCGGGCCCGGGCUAGGACAUGGGCCGAAAAUUUUUUCUGGGCCCGGCCCGGCCCGGCCCAUGGAUACCUCUAGUCAUAAGCAGUUUGUGAAAUGAGUGAGAAAUGGUAAGUUUGGGUAAAUGCAUAGUGAAUCGAUGUGUAAAAAUGAUUAUAUGCAUGUUUAUAUGGUAAUAGAAGUUUUUGGCAUGAAAUUGCAUGAGAAUUGGCUAUGAAUUGAACUUGAAUUGAAUAUAUGCAAUUGAUUUAAGCUUGAUAAUGACUCGCAUCAUGGAAAUACCACUGAGCUUUAUUACUUAGCGUACGAUUUGUUUUCUCCAUGUGUAGGUAUAAGUAAAUCCUGAAGUUCCGAAGUGUGAUCCAGCAUCCAACCAGUGAUCCUCGACUCAACAAUGUUUGUAGUCUCAUUUUGUUAAAUAUAUGACAUGUACCUAAGUUGAAUCGGUUUUUACAUAAUGUGUGAUCAUGUUCGUUUUUAAUGUUAGAAAAUGGUAAUUGGAGAAUGGUCAAAUGGAUUGGUUUUUGUAUUAGAGUUUGGCACUUAGUUGGAUUGCUUAAAAUGUUGUCAUAUUUGUGAUCUAUAUAUGUAUGCGUAUGAUAAUUUAGUAGAAGUUUGGAAAUUUCCAUAACUGCAUAAAUUAAAAAAGUAUGUUUAUGUAUUUCAAUGCAUAUAUGGUAAGAUAUGUUAGAAAUGUAGAUUUGGGAAUGGUAUAUUUGGCUGAAAUAGGAAAUGAUUGAGAUGAAUCUGCUUUCUAGGUGAAGCUUGUUGGUACCAUUUUGGACCAUUUGCAAACACACAAUCAUAUCGCGCUGAGACCUAGUCAAUGAGUUGCGUCGCAACGAGAAACCCCUAAAAUCACGACGUUAACCUGAUAUUUUGCAAACUUUAUAAUUAGGUCCUAAUUCAACCUCGGGUUAGCAAAAGAGAUUUCGUAAGCCUAUGUAAGACUCGGAGAUGAUUGUAUAUUGUAUCAUAUGCAUGUUUUACCCUUAUUUAAAUGUUUAAUGGUAUAAUUUGAAUAUAAUUGAUCGCAAUUGCUUCGACAACGAAUGUGGCAUCCUGUAGCUCGGACCCAGCGAUUAGGUCGGGUAUUAGGUAUUGCAUGAAACAUAUGAAUCUCAAGUAUUCAUCAUUCAAUCAAAUCAUAUAUGAAUACCAACACGAAAAUAACUUUACUGACUUGGCUUGCAUGAUAGAAACUGGCUUGUGUUAACCAAUGACAUGUUUUAUUGUUAGACAAAUUUAGUUCCAUAUUAUUGUGACCUCAAACCAUAAGAGAAUACUCCAAUGUUGUUGUUCUUAUUCAGAUCUCAAAGAAUGAGUAAUCAUUAGAAUAUAAUUGAAAAUUAGAAUUUAGAAAUAUUUGGGUAUUUAGGCCAGUAUAUGUAACAGCCCGUUUUUUAAUUGUGUUGAAAAUGUUGGUUUCCGGCCACAAAUUUGACGAGUGAGUUUGUAAAUAUUAUUAUUUAAUAUUUACGAGUAAAGUAUCAAAUUAUGUCUAACUUUGAUUUAAUGAUUUUUUGUUAAUUAAAUGAAUAAUUAAGUUUAAGUGGUAUGCUUUAAAAGGCAAGUGGUUUUAGAAAAUGAGGUAUCAAGACCUCGUUUCUAUAAACCAAUCCCGUAAAUAUUUUAUUAAAUAUUUGCGGAGUGUUAUUAAGGUCGUAUUAAAAUUUGAUUAAGAAAUUUUAAUGUUUAGAUAGUUAAUUAAGUAAAAAUGACUAAAUAGUAUAAGUUGCAAAAGUUAAUCACUAUUAGUUUAAUUGUGCUAAAUGGCUAUGAAACCAUGAAUUGAAGGUUUUAUAUUGUAAAUAUAUCUAUUUAGGUGUUGAUGGACGGUUGUUGGGUUUUAAUUAGGAACAUUUUGGAUGUUUUAAAGGUUAAAAUUGUAAAUUCAUAAAUAAAACAAAAAUUAAAAGAAACCAAAAUAUGUUAUCAUCUUCAAAAGUUCAUCACCACCAAAAAUAAGAAGAAAACACACCAUUUUGUGAGUUAGAGGUUUGGCGAAGUUUGAUAUGAUGCAUGGUAUGUGAUUUAGAUUCGUUUUUAAUUAUUUUUAUGUUUUCGAACUCGUAAUAGCUUAAUCUAGUUAUCCCGAUGGUCAAUUUGUAAAACUAUUAAAUGUUAUAGAUUAUGCCGUGGCUGAAUUUGGUAUGUUUUUGAAAUUUAUGGUAGAUUCUUAAGCUUGGUUGUCAAAUAGGCAUAUUUUGUUAAGUAUUCUUUUAUGAUUUUAAAGUAUAGGGACUUAAUUAUGAAAAUGGUAAAAUUCAAUCAAAAUAUUGUGAAUUGAUCAUAAAUAUGGGUUGUUAUGAGACUAUGUAAAAAUUGGCUAACAUUAAUUUUAGCUAAAAAUGGUAAAUUUGCAAGUUUCAGGUUUAGAAACUAAACUGUAUAAAGAUAAAAUAUUGGGGGUAAUUUUAUAAAUUUCCCAUUAAUAAGGGUUAUAAGUUAAAUUAUUUAUUUUAAUUUAUUUUAAUGGUUUAAUUGAGUGAAAAAAUUAUUAUUUAGAUCACAAAAUAAGUCAAACGGAUCUAAACUGAGGAAAAGCUAUAUGUCGAAUUAGUCGUCGACUUCGUUUUUACAACUGUAUUUGUCGAGGUAAGUUCAUAUAAGGAUUGAAAUCAUUAUUUUUUGUUUUGGAUGAAUGUAAAUAGAUAUUUAUGCUAUGUUUAAAUUAAAUUGAUAAAGGUGUGAUAAAUUAUUAUUAUUACGGAUCAACUAGAGAAAUUAAUCAAAUUAAAGGAUAUGUGAAUAAUUAUUAAUAUGAUUGGUGAAAUUGUAUAUGGUGAUCAGGAAUUAUAGAUUGCCUCUUUAAAUGUUUACUUUGAUUAAGGUAAGUUCCUAGUGAGUUGUUAUGUAAAUGUAAGUUAAUUGUGAUUACACUAUUGUUUCUACUUAGUUGCUAAUAUAUAUGUGAAAUUUUAUUGGUUAUUUACAUAUAUAUUGGAAUAUUGCAAAUUAUUACAUAUGAAGUCGAGAAAUUGAUAGUAGUAUUUUUUGAGGUUGCAUAUUAAAGAUAUGGAAGUAAUGAAAUUAUGGUAUGUGUACGAAAAGGAUGAAGUGCCUCUAAAUGAUGGAAAUGUAUUUGAGUAAUGAAUUUAAGUGUGAAGCUCGGUUGAACAUAGUAAUCACGUAGGAUACGAUUGGCAUGCCAAUAGGGUUAGUAUACGCGUUUGUACGGGAUUUGUGCCUCUACCUGCACUUUGGUGCCUCUGUUAUACAUCUAUAAUGCCUCUGGUGUGGUGUAAUUACCCGAGUAUUCGAGUCAAAUUACUUAGUUCAUCGGGCUAAAUGUUAAUGAAAUUUACGGUUUACUUAUGUGUUUAAAUGUUGAUGCAUUUACAAGAUAUUAGAAAGUGUUAAAUGUUCAAUGGACUAUUUGUUUACAUGUGAGUACUUUUAUAUUGAUGAAAUGUUGUUAUGAAAUAAAUGGAAUUACAAUCUAUUUAUAUGCUUAUAUAUUAUGGCAUAUUUAUAGUAUUGGAAAGUGAAAGAUAUUAUAAUGAGUUUCUUAGUACAUAUAUGGACUGAUACUUUCAAUAAAUGUGAUUUAUGGUAUGAAAAUCCCUUUAAAAUUGAGGUUGUUUUGAUGUAUUUGGAUUGAAAAGGUAACAUUUUAAUUAUGUGGACGAAUGGUUUAUAUAGUGUAAUUCUUUUCAUGAUAUGAACAGGUAAUUAAAGCUUUACAGAGUAUAUGACUAUAAGAAAUGAUCUAUGAUUUAAAACAAGGAUAUAGAAUAUAGAUAAGUAUAGUUAAAAGAAAAUGAAGGUAUAAGGUAGUCAUAUGAUAGAUGAAUGACGAAAUUGAAAUACUUGAUAUGUUAUAUGCCUUGAUUGGGUUGGAUUUAUAUAUGCAUUGCUUCACCUACAAACCUUAUGAGGUAUGGUGUAUAGGAAAAAGAAAUUUGGUCUAUGACUAAAUGGAAUUACUCAUGGUUGCUUAAUUUAAUGCAAUUGGUAAGUUUAAGUUCCUUUAUAUGAGCUUACUAAGCACUAGUUACUUAUAUAGUUGUUUUCUUUGUUUUGUAAAUCAUCGGAAUGCUUGAAUAGUUGGAAUCUUCGUCGAAGCACGAUCACGCUAUCUGUCAAUCCACUUUGGUAGCUUUUGAAUAUACUGAAAUGAUUAUAAAUGGCAUGUAUAGGGUUGUAUGUCUAUUUGGUAUGUAUUGGAUUGUGCCAAGCCUUGGUGUGCCUUAAUGCUUUUGUUAUUGGUUUGUAUAUGAAGUGUAUUUAUAAGAUGUUAAUGGUUGUACAUGGCCUUUUCAAAUUAGGAAGGAAAUGGUUGGUUGAAAUGUUUUUAGAUGUGGGUAUUUGGUAUAUUUGAAGCAUGUUUAAUGAUUGAACUUAUGAUGUUAAAUUGAUUUAGGAUAAGUGUUUGAAAUGUGGUGCCUUUGAAUGGCAUAUUGGUUAGAACAUAUAGGUUAGAACAUAUAGGUUGGUUGAAUUGGUAUGUUUUGUAUGUGUCUAAGGUGUGUUUUGGUCAUAUGAAUGUGUAUAUGAAAUGUGUGUUUUGGUAUGCAAGUAUAGGUUUUGAAAUGGCUUGUUUUAAAGGCUAAAUUUGGAGUACAAGGCCUGGGACACGAGCUGUCACAUGGUUGUGUGCCACACACGAUCGUGUGUCAUUAAUAUUUUAAGUGCAGGUUUCAUACGGCCUAGGAUACGACCGUGUGUCUCAAAACAUUUUGUCACACGAUUUAGCACACAACCUGCGACACAGCCAUGUGACCCUAUUUCGAUUACACACAUGGGCAGAUACAUAGGCUGGGACACGGCUGUGUCUCCCUACUUCGAAUUUCUACAUAGUCUGAGCUAUGUCACACGGCCUAGCCACAUGGUCGUAUGACCCUUGCUUUCUCAAUUUUCAGGUUUUUCCUAAAAAAAUUUUAUUUACUCAAAAUGAUCCCCAAUCAUUUUUAAUUUAUUUUUAGGGCCACGAAAGCUCGAUUUUAGGCCCAAAUGUGUAUGUUUACUAUAAUUGGAAUGAGUUAUUGAAAAUUUAUACUUAAGUUGAAUUAUUGUUCUGUUUUGAAGUUUGUAACACCACUAACCCGUAUUCGUUCUCGAAACAGGGUUAUAGAGUAUAAUUAGAAUAAAUAGAUUAAAUACAGGAAUUUCAUAUUAUCAUUUAACAUUCAUGUUAGAUUUUAGUCGUAAAGUCCCUUAUGAGAGCCCUCGAGGCUCAAAUUUCACUUUAGAAUUGAAUCGGGACUAAAUCGAAAACUCGAAGAAUUUUUCGUAAAAUUUUAAAAUUUUCCAAAUUGCAGGGGUCACACGCCCUUGUGGUCAGGCCAUGUGGCUCACACGACCAAGUGACACACCCGUAUCUUAGGCCGUGUGGUAUUUGAAAUAAGGCACACGGCCGUGUCCCCAGCCCGUGUAACUCUCUGACUUGCAAUACAUUUAAGUGUAAGGGUCACACAGCCAAGCCACACGCCCGUGUGGCAGGCCAUGUAAAAAUUCCUGAGCAUUCUAUUUUAAAUUUUUAAGAUGCAGGGGACACACGGCUAGAAUACACGCCUAUAUGCUAGGUCGUGUGUCACACACGGCUGAGACACAUGCCCGUGUCUCUGCACGUGUGGACAAAAUAAGGUCAUUUCUAAGCCCUAUUUCUCACCCAUUCUUGUCUUCCACCUACAGUAACACUUAAACACAUUCUUAAUCCAAUAAAAGACCUUUAAACCAAGCCAAAACCAAGUCAUAUGCAUGAUAUUUUCAUUACAUGUAUUCAUAAACUCUAUCUUACUUAAUUGAUCAAAUUCACAUUUAUGCAUAUUUUAUCAAAUAUGCUAUCUUGAUCCAUUCAUCAUGUACUUACCAUCAUUUGAUCAUUUCAAACACACAUCAAGUAUAUUAAGACUAUUUACACAUCAAAACAUACCAAACAUAGCCCUUUAAAUGGCUAUUUACAACCAAAAUAUGUAUAUGUCAUCAAUGGCUAAGUUAACCUAUACAUGCCAUUAUAACCAAAAUUAGUUUCAUACUUGUACCGAAAAUUGGCCGGUGGAUAGUGUGAGUGAUCUCCGCCAAGCUUCCAACCCAAUGAGCUUCCGAAAACUAUAAAACAGAGGAAAUACAACUGAAUAAUCACUUAGUGCUUAGUAAGCCCAUAUAACAAAAAAUUUACUUAUCAUUUGUUUACAUUUAUAAUAAACAUACAAGAAUACAUCCAAAGCAAUUUGGCAAUUAGCCUAACGCAUAUAACCUCACAAACAUGUUAGUCAUGUAUUUCAUGUGAAUAAUAAGAACAAGGAUGAGCUCAUCAGGUAUCGAGUUUCCAAGUAUUUCAUGCAUAUAUAGAUAAUAGUUUCACUUUGAUUUCACAUGUUCUCAUGUCAGAAUUUCAUUCGUUGAAUCAUUUGAAAUCUCGAUAAAUACUUGGGUAGUAAAGCUGAAGUGUACAAUACUAUAAAUCUGUCAAUUCAUAUCCGGGAGUGUUUUUAUAAGCACUUAAACAGAAAGCUCUCCCUCAAGCACUAUAAUGGAAAGCUCAUUAAGCCUUGUACAGGAAGCUUAUCCGGGCAAUAUAAUGGAAAGCUUACAAAGAACCUGUAACGGGUAGCUCCGAAGAGCAAUUAACGGGUAACGGGAAGCACCAGAUAGCCAUAUAACGGGAAGUUCAAGUGAGCACUAACGGGAAGCUCACAAACAGCCUUUAAUCGGGAAGCUCACGAAGAGCUAUAUAACAGGACGCUCAUAAGAGCUGCGAUGUGCCUACAACACAUGUAAGGUCACAACCGAUCGGGAUGCUCCGAGCAGCAUUUAACGUGAAGCUCGCAAGAACACUAUAUAACGGAAAGCUUGAGAGGGCUUGUAACAGGAUGCUCUUUCGAGCUACGGUAUAUUCGCAACAUAUGCAAGACCACUACCAUUUUGGGAAACAGAACCCUGUAUCCAAUAGAAUUUCAUUCAUUCAAACGAGAUUUAACAUUUAUCGGGUAUUUUUCAGAUAUAUGAUCAGCUUUCAUAUACAUGGACAAUACACAAUUCACAUUCAAAUCAUUAAAAUCAAUUCGAACAUAUAAUUACACAAUUAAGUUACACGAACUUAUCUUGACAAAUGUUCGUGAAUCGUAAUCUACUAAUCCGAUACUUUUUCCUUUCCUCGAUCCAAUUCUGUAUUUUGUCUUUCCGGAUCUAUACGAGUAAAUUUAAAUUAAUUUAAUACAAUUCAUAAUCAAUUCAAUCCAUUUCACAUCUUCGAAAAAAUUACCAUUUGCCCCUAUACUUUUAACUAAUGACGAUUUCGUCCCUAGGUUCGAAAAAAAUGAAAUUCAUUCAGUUUAGUCCUUAUUCCAAGACUAGCUGAUUUUUACACAUAACAAUAAUAGUCCAUGAAUUUCUCAAAAAUUAGAAUUUUUCCAUGAAUUUUACAACUUACCAAUUUAGUCCCUAAAUCAUGUUUUCAUCAAAAUUUCCUUAACAAAAGAUGUUUAUCUAUCAACAAACUUUCAUUUUCUACCAUAAAACUUCAUAAUUCAACUAUAUUCAUCCAUGGAAAAAUCCUAGAACUUUGAUAAAUUUGCAAAUUAAUCCCUAAAAUAGCUUAAUUAAGCUAUUACGAUCUCGGAAACAUAAAAAUUACUAAAAAGGGGACAAGAAUUCAUACCUAAUUAAGCCAACAAAGCCUGCUUGAGCUCUUUUCUCUUAGCUAGGGUUUCCAUAAAAAAAUUGGGAAAGAUGAUGAUAAAUGAUGAUAUUUUUGGUUAUUUAAUUAUUUAUCAUCUUUUCAUCUUUUUCUUUCCAAUUCCAUCCUUUUCUUUAAUUAAAUUUCCAUGGAUGAAUCAUCAUCCUUAUCUACUAACUUCUCUUAAUGGUCUAUUUUCCAUAUCAGGACCUCAACCUUUAAAUUCCAUAGCUAUUUGAUACUUAUAGAUAUUAGAACCCAACUUUUGCAUUUCAUACAAUUUGGUCAUUUUAUCAAUUAAACAUGUAAUCAGUAAAAUUUUCUUAACAAAAUUUUCAUACGAUUUUCCUAUUAUAAUUCAAACCAUAAAAUAAUAUUAAAAAAAUUCUUUUCGGACUCGGAUUUGUGGUCCCGAAACCACUGUUUCGAUUUCACUGAAAAUGGGUUGUCACAAAGUUUAAGGUUUUGUUUUGUACAGUAACACUCCGUAACCCUAAUUUGGCGACAGAGACGGGUUAGGGGUGUUAUAGUAUAAAUAUAGAGGAAGAAUGUUUUGGGUUUUUGUGAAAAACUAAGAAGUUAGAAGGCCUAUUUAUAGGUUUUAGAAUUGAGGGUUUUUUUUACAACGAUGAUUUGAAUCCAAGCAAUUUCUUGGGAAGAUAAACACCCGACCAAUAUGCCACAGCUUGGGGCUCAUUAGAAUUAAGGUUUUGUUAGUGGCUUUAAGAUAAAUUUGACACCUAUGGGUUGAGUAGUCAAUAAAAAUUUCCGUUUCCCCUUCAAAUUAUUAGUUACAAAUUAAAGCCUAUGGGUUUUUUUUCUAAUUUUACAAAAAAAAUCGACAUCCAUAAGUGUCAAGUUUUGUUUAAAUAUUAUCCACAACGUUAGAAAAUUAAACAUUAUUACAACUUAAAUUUUAAAUAUAUCUAAAAAUAACUCUAACACUUGUAUGCAGAUCUAUUCAUAGGCAGAGUGGCCCAGUCAGCCAAGCCGAAUUUAGUUCGGACUUGGGCUAAGAUUUUAAAAUAUAUAAAUAUUAUUAUAAAAUAAUAUAUUUUAUUACUUUUAAAUAGUGAUAUGAGUUAUUUUGGUGAAUCAAGCUUGAGCAUGGACUUAAUUUUUUUUUAAAAUUCAAGCCUCGACCCGGCCUAUGAAAAUAUAUACUUGUAAUAUCAAAGUGAUGGAAUCAUUCCAAACUGGUUACCAUGAUUCCAAUAAUGCAUAAAAGACUUAGCGACAUAAUAAACAUCACUAAACUCAACGCUCAUGAAUCGUAAAUUCUAAUGAACCAUGCACAAACAAAAAAUUAUUAAUAACAUACACAGCAAAAUUAUGAUAUAAACCAUCAAUAAUUUUAAAAUUAAAUUUAUGUAAUUUAAAAAAAUAUAUUAAUGUCUCAUUGAUUCACUUACCAAUAUAAUACAUCAAAUAUAAACCUAUAAAAUAAUAAAAAUAUGAUUUCAAUGCAAAUGUUUCCCAACCAUCCUUACCCACACAUAUUAAAUUUUCAUUUAAUUUGACCCCAUCAUUCAAGUGUCAUAAAAGUCCCAUGACUCCGUUCCUCAACUUCAUUUUGUUUGUAUUCACUUAAUCUGUUUGAUUGAGCAUGGUCACGGAUGUCAACUAUUAACUUCUUUGUUUUCUUUUCUAAAGUAUCCAUUGAAUAUGAGUGUGAAGUUAUAAUUUUUGAAAUAUAGGAAGAAUACACCGACUUGGAAUAUAAAAGUGAAGCAUAUGCACAAAAGUUUAUUUAUCUUUUAAAUGAUCCUUUUAGGAAAAUCAUAUUUCCAUGUUUAAGUAAGUAGCACUGUGAAUCAACAUUAAAAUUUAAACUAUUUUAUUUAAGACUUUCGGAAGAUUGAUUUUUCACGUUCUUCUAUUUAUUUCUGGAAUUCAUUAUGCAAUUUUUUGGGUUAAUAUAUACGGAACCUAAAUUUUUUUUAGGACCUAAUUGAUAUAUAAAUUUGAAAACCACAAGUCAACUUGGUACCUUUUUUAGAUACUUGACUAAUACUGUUAAAAUAUGCUAACAUGGCACUAAGGACCAAUAUCAUGGUGACACAUGGCAAUAGAUUAUUUUUUAAAAAAAAUUAAAAAUUUUCUAGAUUCAAAAUGUAAGGCUACCCCAUGUCAUCUUGCUAUUAGUUAUUAAUGUCACAUAUCAGCAUACUUUAAUAGCUUCGGGUACCUAAAAAGAUAUUAAAUUAGCUAACGACACCAAAUAGGUAUAAGUUACUUUGUAUAUAUUAACUUUGUUUUUUCUGGUUGCUUUAUUAGCAUUUGGAAGGUGCAAAGUUUGAGGAGCCUACUUGCCUUGGCGCGAUCAGGUCUUGAUGGGGCUUCACUUUUCUAGUCAUAGCAAUAUAUAUUUCCUUCUCUAAUCUUUUAGGUAUUACCAGCUAAAGGAUAACAUUUCUAUUAUCUGGAGGUUUAGAGGGAUUUUAAUCAGUAAACGUGGAUGUGAUGUGGCAGAUGGUUGCCGACAGAAUAUUGGGUGGGAAUUGUUGUUGUCCUGUUCUGUUGCCGCUACCCUUUUAGUGGGACACCAAUUUGUGGACCAAACCAAACCCACCGCCCCUUUCAUUUCUAAUCUCACCUUUAAUUUUGUUACGUAUUGGAUUUGAAUUUUAUUAUCACUUAAUAAUAUUAUAUGCUAUCCACCUCAACAACGUAUAUAUACACAACAUGGAAUUUGACAUUCAAAUUAGUUGGACAGAAACCAUAUAUAACUCAAUCUACACAACACAACAAUAUAUAGACAACUUCAUCCUUUUUUUACUCUUAUUUUUCUUCAAGUAUUCACAACAUGAGUAUAGAUAUAAAAAUAUGACCUCUUCACAUACGUUAAAAAACACAUAAAAUAAUCUUAAUCUUAAUCAUACUCAUGUCACACGUGCAAUUCCAUUUAACAGUCUUUGCCCCACCAUUACCUGAUUGCUCCAAGCAAGUUGGCUCCAUCGAGCUUUGCACCUUCUAAGUGCUGAUAAAUCAAAACGAGAAAAAAUACAAACAAAAAUUAUGUAACGAAUUCCGGUAAGGUAUCUGAAAAAAGUAUAAAGACUGGUAAAUCUUUUGACUUGAUCUGCAUCAAUGAUGCAUGCAAUCCAGAAGUUUUAGAUAACAAGCAUCCAUGAUGUUGUGUGAAAGUUUUUAGAUAAUUGCACACUAAAAAAACUUCAUAUACUUACCGUAUCACAAAGAUUAACAUGAUGUAAAUAAGUCCUUCGGAGGUUUGCACCCUUCAAAUUCGCAUUGCUUAAUUUCGCACCCUGAAGACUAUGUUCAUUACAAUGAACUUAAUCACAAUAAACAUGUUGGGUCAAAACAAUUCAUUCGAAUGUUUAUCAAUAAUAUCGAGCUUGCUAGAGUUACCAGGAUAAGUUAUCGCACAUAUCAAAUUAAGUUAUUGAACCCUAGUAUUUUCUGUUUGGGUGCCUAAUGAUAACUUCACAUAAAUAAAAUAAUACAUGUGCUAAAGCAAUUGACUUGUAAACGCCGUGCUUAAGGGUCUCUUACCUUCAAAUUGGCUCCUUCAAGAUUAGCUCCCUCUAAGUUGGCAUCAGUAAGAUCAGCACUCUAGAAGUCCAGAGAUUAAGCAUAUUAAUAGUUUACAAUAACACAACUGACACACUAAGCAUGUAAUUUUAAUUUUAAUCAUUCAACCAAACCAUUAUAGCUCAAACAAUCACGAAUCUGAAAAUAUUAUUCCAACAAGCUUAAGGAAUUUAUGGUAACCUAAGAUCUUGUAAUUUCCUAAUUUAUAUAUGUACAUUCUAUUCUAUUCAAUUCAAUGAACCACCUUUGCUUGUUGAUUUUAAUUUAGUGAAUCCACUGUAAGUGUGCACAACGAAGAUCAGCCCCGCAGAAGCUACAAUCUAUCAAAGAAGCAUCUGCAACAAUGUAAUUGAUGAUGAUACAUCAAUAUUUAAACCUUAACAGUAAAAAGAGGCAUUUAGCUAAGUUACUUGGGCACUGGUGUGAAUGUCCGAUAUGGAUAUGCUCAAUUUUUCUGUUUCAGGAGUUCCAUGUAUUUGAAGAGUCUUUAUAGGACCAUAUCUCUAUAUCUAUAUCCAGACAUGUGUCUAACAUAGGUAUUGGACAUCGGUACUUCAAGAAUAUAGACUUUUAGUAAGAAAUCUACUAUCUAUAGAAAGAUGGCAAGUAUUUGCCUUGAAGAUUUGCACUCUGAAGAUUCGCCCCGUUAAAUUCACACCUUCCCUAGGCAAAAAUAAAACCCGUUGCAAACAAAGUUCACAAGAAAAUGCACUCUCCAAAAAGGAUAAAUAAUUCUGAGGAUCUUACUUGCGCAAAGUUGCAUUGUGAAAAUUCGAACCCACAGCAUCCACAUCCUGUUACAAAAACAAAGAGGUUUAUUAUAAGUAUGGGCUUAAAUUUAAUUAAGGCAUUGACAGUUAAUCACAUACUUCACUUAAGAACCAGACAUACCCGAAAUUUUGCACACCGAAGAUUUGCACGUGAGAAAAGUACGUUUUUGAGACAGGCAAAGCUGAAAUCCACAAAUGAAAGAUCCUGCACAAAUAAAGAGGGAAAAAGGAGAUGAUGAAUCCAAAGUGCAAUAACAAGCUGCAUUACAUUACUUCUGCUUCUUCAUUAGACUUGAAGUUGAACCACAGGGGAUCGAAUGAUAAUAAAGAGAGACAUCAAACAUUCGGAUUAAAACUAAAACACACACACACAUUCAACAAUCCAAAAGAAAAUGCCACAAAUAACCACCAUCAUCAUGGAUCAGCGAAAACGAGAAAACUAGUAUUAGAUCCAAGAGGCAUGCACAAAAGCUACAAACAGAAGAUCAAUGAGAACGAGUCUCGCUUCCUGCGAACAAAGAUUCUACUUCUCAAAAAUAAGAGUUUCACACAAGAUUUUGUCAAAAAUUUGGGAUCAGAAAUUAUUUACCAAUUUAGAGAGAUCAAGGCCAGAAAGGUUAACUCCUCGAAAUUUAACUCUUUCAGACUGUAUGCACUUGAUGACAUCGGUAUGCGUCAAUUCUGCUGGAGACUUUUCAUCUUCCUUCCUCUUAUUAAGAACAGAACUUAUUCCUUCUAUUAAUCCCUGAAUCAUAUCACAUUAUACCGUCACUGAACAAAAUUUCAAGAGAUCAUACCAUGGGCUGCAAAUAACAAGCACCACUCUCAAACAAUGGCCUAUGACCAAAACUAUAAGGUGGCGGUGGGCAAGGGGUGGUCAACGCAUAAACCAUUGUGAUCUAUAUAGAUCACUGUAUUUGGUAAGGCAUUCAGUGACCCAACAGUGCAGUGAUCUUAAAUCAUUGAGAAUUAUUAGAAUUGCACAUUUAAUAUAUGAAUUAAGAACUUGGUUUCUGUCAAAUAGCUGUUGAUGUUUCCCAUAACAAUAUGACUUAUGAGUAGCUGGUAAUAUUCUGCCUCUCGUAUAAGCUCUGAAUAUUCAGAAUCUGUCAAUGUCGGUACAACGCCAUCCCUUAACCAGUUUAGAAUAUGCCUGAAAUGCUUUCCAUCUCUGUCAACAAAGACAUAUCCCUGCAAGAGUAUUGAGGAAUAUGACUAUCUGCACUCAAACAAAGUCGCUUCACAAAAAUUGAUAUGAAAAGCACAUAAAAUUUAUUUCCCUUGUCCUCCUUUUGAGGUUUACUGUGAAUAAAUAAUGUGCUGGUGGAAAACAAAACAAGUUUGCAUUGCUCCUCAAAGAAACAUAACUAUCAAGAACCAACAGUUCAGUGCUAUCAGUAGUAUGUUAUCAUGAUCUAAUCAAAUGCCUGCAAUAAUACGUAAGAUUUAGUCAAUAAAAAACUAUAAUUACCACUUGCAUUUUGUGGUCAAUGUCUUUUCUGGAAAGUGAAAGUAACAUCAAGACCUUGAAAAUUUCUAAAAUCUGAUAUGAACUGUUAUUACAUGAAUCGAAUACAAUACAAUACGAUUUACUGGUUCUUAAUACUUUGUUAGACAAAUAAUAUAACUAGCUUCCACAAUAAUCAUCCACAGCCUAUCAUGCAUGAUAAACAUAACAUUCACAACACCUGUAUCUAAACUACUGCAAAGGUGAAAAUCAAAUCCUUUCAGUAAACAGAAAUCUUUAUCCCGAAAUUAGAAAAAGUAUAUCGCACCAAACAGAAACAAAUAGAAAAGGCUGUAUUUCUUUUUCAGCCACAUUUCCCAACGAAAACAAAGAUACAUCCCCUAAGAAUGCAAAGGAAACUGCAGAAUAUUACUCAUAAGUCCACAUAACAAUAACGGUAUGUGUACGCAAAGGAAAAGAACAGUAUAUACCUUCUCAGAGUCCUGAUACACUGUAUGUCGACUGCUAAAGACAGCAGCCAGCAUAGAAUCUGGCUCACGCCGAGUUAAUGUAUCAAUGGUAGUACAAAAUUUCUUCCCUCCUGCACAUCAAAUUUUCAUUCAAAUGAAGCUAUAGCUUUAAAUUUAAACUAAAACUAAAUUAGUUACAAAAUUCAACUCCACAAUCUUUUUACAUCAAAAACAACUAAGACUUAAAAGAUAAGUGACACCCAGAAAAGCAAAUGCAGCAAGUUCACAUGUACGUACAUCAGGUUCCUGAUUCAGAAAAUGCCAAAUUCAGAAAAUCAAACAAAGGGGUUUAACUUGAACCAUUAAUCAAAGCUGAAGAGCUAAGAGAAAAUUUUGGGGUUUUCUUGUUUAUUAAUGAACCGAUCGAAAAGUCUUUUAACUUUUUACUAAAUUAAGCAACUGACUGGGAAUUGAUGAAAGAAUAUGUAGAGAUUACUUGAAAUGCAGAGAAUUUUACCAAUGCUGAGUCGAACAAGCGAAGGCAAAUUGGAAUCUUCCAUCAGAAAAGAUGAAAUGAAAAUCGUCAAAAUUAAAUGACUUGUUGCAGCAGUCAAGCAAGUAAGCAAGCAAUUGUUUGGGGGGAUGCUGCCAUUGCCGUGGGCUCCCUAAGUUUGUCAAAUAGAUCUUCCGUUGGGUAUUUAACUGGUUUUGUCGGUAAGCAUGGCCCAUGGGUCGAAUCUUGAUUCGGGUCAUAGUUAGAGCUGUCCCAGGAUCCGGUUCUGAAAACGGGUUUUGUGGAUUUGGGUCUCUUGGAUUUAUAUAUAAAUAACUAGUCUUUUUUUACACCUGCAAUUUACAGAUUGAUUUGUGUUUAAAUUAAAAAAUAUUAAAUUCUUUAUAUUUUUAUAAAUUUUAUGAUGGUUUGUGAUAUCAAUAUUUUUUCUUUUAUAAAUCAGACUAGUAUAUUAAAAAAUAAGACAAAUAUAAUUAGGCUAACAAAAUUUACGGGGAAAUUACCAAUAAAAGCCGGUUUUUUUCAAAAUUUAUCGAAAUGGGCCGAUUUUUUGAUUAUUUACCGGAAUGGUCCAUUUUCCGGGAAAUCGUGUCCACGUCAGCGCGAUGUCAGGGUACAUGUCAGGACAUCACGUCCACGUCUGCUGACGUGGACGCGAUGUCCUCCGCGCGUGAACAGUACCCCAACGGUCAAAAAAAAAACUAUAAAUACCACCCACCCCUUUAUUUUUUUUCACAAACAAAUCCUAUCUAAUAUUUCCUCUCUAAUCCUCUCAAUUUCCUUCCAAAAUUCUCUCAAUUUCCUUCCAAAAUUCUCUGAAACCCAUAUUUAAUUUCAAUUUCCUCUCAAUUUCCUCCGAAAAUUCUCUCAAAUCCAUAUUUAAAUUCAAUUUCCCCUCAAUUUCAUUUUUUAAAAUAAUUUUAUAUUUUUUAUAUUUUUUUAAAAUAAUUUUAAAUUUUUUAUAUUUUCAUCAAUGGCCGGAUCAUUGAUUCGUCUUGAUAGGAAUCACAUAUUGGUGGAGCAAAUGAAAAUGGUAAGUAUUAAAUUUAAUUUUUAAUUAUUAUUUAAGAUUUUUUAUUUAUGUAUUUUUAGAUAAUUAUUAAUUUAUUAUUUGUUAUAAAAGUCAGAAGAUCCGGUAUUGGAAUGCAAUAUCCAGAAUAUGCAUGCUCCUCCAUCACCGUUAGUAGAGAACUACCUGCGGGAAGCGGGUUUUUGGCACGUAGCGACGGUAGGUCGGGGAUGCAAGUUGGACCCGAAACUGAUUAGUGCGUUGAUCGAGAGGUGGAGACCCGAGACGCACACAUUUCAUCUUCCAUGUGGAGAGUGCACUAUCACUCUAGAAGAUGUCAGCAUGCAGUUGGGAUUGCCAGUGGACGGGCACCCAGUCACCGGGUCUGCCCAAUCUAGUAAUUGGGAGGCGGUGUGCUACGAGCUUUUGAGCGCUAUUCCGGAAAAAAUGGAUGGAGGUAAGGUCGAGAUGGGCUGGUUACGUGCCACAUUCCCCGAUCCGAAUGCAAAUUCAACUGAAAUUGAAAGAAUCUGAUAUGCUCGAUCAUGCAUUCUUCAAAUAAUUGGAGGUUAUCUGAUGCUGGACACGUCACGGAGCCAUGUACAUCUAAGGUGGCUGCUAAAACUCGUUGAUUUUAGAAGAGCCGGUGAAUUUAGUUGGGGGUCUGCCGUCUUGGCAACAUUAUAUCGGGAGAUGUGCGAGGCGACGCGACCGAGGAGAGCAAACAUCGGAGGUUGCCUGUCACUACUGCAAUCAUGGACUUAGUUUCGCUUUCCAUUUCUACGUCCUCGAGUGAACCACCCAUAUACAUUCCCACUCGUAACGAGGUAAAUUUUAUAUUACAUUUUGGAAUUAUUAUGUAGAUUUUGUAAGAAUAAAAGUAUGCUAAAUAUUUAUUUAAUUAGGUGGAACCAUCCGGCAAGUUAUCAUGGAUUACCGUCUGAACUUGAAGAUAUACGGCUUCUAUUGGACCAACGGUCAGAAGCAGAAGUAAGUAUUAUUGCAAAUAGAUAUUUCCAUACAUUCGCUAGUCAAUUGAUAUUUAGUAUUUAGUAUUUAGUAUUAUGUAUAUAACUAAUAUUUCUAUCAUGUUCAUAUAGUUUCAAUGGACACCAUACGAGGAUCCGACAAUUCUGGCAGUAAUCUCGGAAGAGUUUUUACAAAAUCUAAACGCUUGGCACGUGAAAGUGGUGUUGAUCAACUAUGCAACCGUGGAGCCCCACCAAACAGACAGAGUGCUACGACAGUUUGGAUGUAGACAACCGAUUCCUGCAGACCUUGAGGAGUUUGACGAGCACCACAAAAUCGACCUUCAACUAUUAGGUAUGGAUUGGCGUAGAUACUGGUCCGAGUACGAGGAAAUGUGGGAAAAUCGACAUGAAUAUCUACCUACUCGGGAACAAAUCAUCGUUCCGAAGUUAGUGUGCGUUCCAGAAUACAUGCCAUGGUUUAGGAUCCAUGGCAAGCCGUAUUUACUUACGGCAGAUGAGAGGCAGCAGCAAACACGUGUCGGAAGGGAAAGGCAUGAGCCUCUAAAUCUAAGACGAGAAGACUACGAAGGCAGCCUCUCAACGAGGCCCAGACAGUCACCCAGCUCAUCAUCAGCGGCCAUGCAAUCACCGGCCCCAACGAGAGCACCGACGCAGUCACCUGACGCAGCAAUUCAACAGAUGAUACCCACGCAACUGCCUUUCCCUAUGAUGCCAGUGUGUUUCCUAGCCCUUAUAUUUACCCUAAACCUUACAUAUAUCCUUUUCCAAAUACUAUGGCAGGUUGGAGCCAAAUGUCCGGUUUAGCUCCAUUUCCUGUUAUGUCGAAUGACCGUCAAUAUCUAGGCCAGCGGCGCAGGAGGGAUCGCAAGGGGGGCCAUCGGAGAGCUCUCCUUUUCCGAAUACUAUGGCAGGUUGGAGCCAAAUACCCGGUUCAGCUCUAUUUCCUGUUAUGCCGAGCGGAUCGUCGAUAUCUAGGCCAGCGGCGCAGGAGGGAUCGCACAUACCUUCGGGGAGCUCUCAUUUUUACCAAUCGCCAGCAACGUAUGGCUUUCAAACACCGUCACCGUUCAUGAUGCAAACACCUCCACAUACACUAUUCUUUAAAGGUGGAUCAUCGUUCCAAGUUCGACAACUAGAUGCCGAACCGGAAGAAGCACAAUCACCACCAGAGGAAGAACAACCGCCUCCGGAAGCUAGAGGAAGGAGGAAUCUAGCGCGCAACCAUCGACGGCCGCCAUGUUGAACCGAAUCCCUCGGGCAUAGACAUUGAUUGUCGUAUUUAAAUUUAUUAUUUGAUGUAAUAAAAUAGAAGUUUAUUUGAUAUAAUAGGCAUAGAAAUUUUUUUGAGUUAUUUUAAUAUUAUUUGAUGUAAUAAAAUAGAAGUUUAUUUGUUAUAAUAGGCAUAGAAAUUUUUUCGAGUUAUUUUAAUAUUAUUUGAUGUAAUAAAAUAGAAGUUUAUUUGAUAUAAUAGGCAUAGAAUUUUUUUCGAGGUAAUUAAAAACCCUAACCCUAACCUAACUUAAUUAAAAACCCUAACCCUAAACUAAUUUAAUUAAAAACCCUAACCCUAACCCUAACCUAACUUAAUUAAAAACCCUAACCCUAACCUAACUUAAUUAAAAACCCUAACCCUAACCUAAUUUAAUUAAAAACCCUAACCCUAACCUAACUUAAUUAAAAACCCUAACCCUAAACUAAUUUAAUUAAAAACCUAACCCUAAACUAACUUAAUUAAAAACCCUAACCCUAACCUAACUUAAUUUUACUAACCAUUAACACAAUUUUUGGACUUAAUAAUUUUACAUAAUUUGAUAAUUUUACUAACCAUUAACACAAUUUUUAGACUUAAUAAUUUUACAUAAUUUGAUAAUUUUACUAACCAUUAACAAAAUUUUUCUGGCUUAAUAAUUUUACAUAAUUUUACAUAAUGUUAGAUUUGGUAAAAUGUUUUGACUGGUACUAACAAUUAAGAAAUUAAACUAAUUUGAUAAUUUUACUAACAAUUAAUACAAUUAUCAAUUAAUAAUUGAAGAAAAUAUAUUUUUUUCUAAAAUUACAUUCAGCUAUUGCUAUUAGGGCAUGUAAGACUUGUAUGGCCUGGGUUCCUACACCAUCCGCACAACUUCUGUUGACUGGCUGCUUCUCGGAUAUCCAUAUUGUUCCGUAUUCUGGUGGAGCAAGGUCGACCCUUUAGUUUGCGACGCAAUUCUCUAUCCGGUAACAGCUUAAAAGGAGCAAGAGAUACGGGCGGCCACUUACGUUCAUCUGGGACCGGUGGAAAAACGUGUCUCCAUACGUUGUACAUGUUUUCUAGUUUGUACACUUUGUCCACAUAACUCAUCGGAUUCAGACGGAGUUUCUGACAAGAUGCAAUAACAUAAGCACAUGGAUAACGAAGUGCAUCAAACUUUCCACAGUCACAAGUUCUGUUUCGCAAGUGUACACGAUACUGCCCGUCAACAACACCUUGGUACGGUCUGUCAAACUCUGUCACGCGAAACCAUAAAUUGUCUCGAUCGUCACACACUGCGUGCAUGAUGUUUACCCUCGCCAUCGCCUUGUUAAUUUCUUGAACUACCUUACUGCACCAUACAUGGCCACCCUGCAUCUGGCCUGCAUAAGUUGCUGCUCGCUUUGGAAAUAGCACCGCCAAUCAGAAAUAUGUCUCUCGCACAACCGAUGUUAUCGGUAGAUGGUGCGUUCCUUUAAGAACAGAAUUUAUGCAUUCAGCCAGGUUCGACAUCAUAUGGCCAUAUUGUAGGCCUCCGUCGUAUGCUUGUGUCCACUGUUCGAAACGUAUGUUACAAAGGUAGUCCGCCCCUUCUCCAUUUUGGGAUCGUAAAAUGGCCAACAUCUCCUGAAAACGAUCUUUAUUUAUUUCAUACCCUGCCAAUAUAAGAUAAUAGCGAAUAUUUUAUACCACUUCUACCAAUAAAACUAAUUCAAAUUGACAAACGAAAUAAUACAGUUAUAAACUAAAUACCCAUGUUGGUCACUUGUCGUCGUUUCCUCUUAGAUGGAUAUUACCUGUAGUAGUUCUAAGCAACGUGUCUUAGGCAAUAUCUAUGGUGUGUGCGCUGCCACAAGCUUCCCUCUCGAUCAAAUGCAGCUAGUAUACCGACGCCCGGAUCUGAAAUAACACAGAUAUCAGGUUGGGGGCAGACAUGCCUCCUUAACCUAGAGAGAAAGAAAUCCCAGUCAUCAGACAACUCCCCCGGUGUUAUUGCAAAUAAAAUUGGAAGAAUUCUCCUACCGCCGUCCUGUGCCACUGCAACCAAUAGCCGAUGAGUAUACCUACCGAACAUGAAGGUACCGUCAAUUUGUACCAACGGCUUGUAGUAUGGAAAUGCGUCUCGGCAUUGCUUAAAGGUCCAAAAUAGGCAUUUGAACACUUGGCAUCCACGCAGCAAUCGGUCGUUGUAGUACGCAUGUUCCAUUUCAAGGUCUGUGAUGGCACCUGGGACGUAUCUCUCUAGCACCUGACACCACUGCCAUAUUUCAUUAUAUGAGGCGUCCCACCCACUAUGCAUAUUCUCCAACACCUUUUUCUUAGCUAUCCAAGCCUUACGGUAAGAGGACGUGUACCCCAUUUGGCUACGGAUAUUGGCAAUUAUCACUGGCACUGAAAUCCUCGGAUCUACUUUUAUCGUGGGCAGUAUCAAGCUAGCUAACAUAGCUGAAUCCAUUUUGGGAUGAUCUUGUGAAACACCUACAGAGGGAGUACAUUAAAUAAUGCAACAUUGCAAAAUAAAAUUAUUAUUCAGAUACAUUCAAUCAUGUACCUACAGCAAAUGUAUGUGGACCUUUGUACUUUUUUAUCUCCCACAACCCUGUCCUUUUCCUUAACGAGGCGACGAUUUUCCAUGAACAUAUGUCGUCUUGCAUCGCACACUUCGCCUCAAACUUAUCAGAUUUUAAUUUAACAACGUGGUAAUUAACGUCGUUUUUGAUGCUAUGCUGUUUCAAAGCACCAAUAAAACUAUCCUUGUUGGUAAACUGAUUACCAACUUCAAGUUCACCGAAAUCUACCCCCGAACUUGUACGAUCGCGCAACCGGUGUGGUAGAUCUGGAAACUCUAACGUAUCAUCUGCUGAAAAAUCGACAUUAUGCAUGUGGGCUGAAGGUGAGUAUGCUCUGAAUCGUGGAUUUUCUUCAUCAUCUGAACUCCUUUCAGCAUCUUCACCUUCUGUUUGAAUAGGCUCCGAUUCAGAAAAUAAUCUCACUUCUGUACCAUCCAGCCCGGGCUCUCGAGGUGGAUCUACAUCAAAGUCAUCUCCUAACCCACAAUCAUCUACAGCAUACGACGUCCCCCCACCGGUUAACGUCGUAGGUAGUACGUCAUCCCUUCUUCUGGGUAUUCGAUAACGUCCUCGAUUGGAUAUAGAUUGCCAUCCACUAGAACUUGAUGCAGUUCCCCAGUACGUAUUUCCAGCAUCAAACGUCGAGCCACCGACGUACAUGUCCCAUCCAUCGACAGAGUGUCUUGCGGGGGAUGUGCAUUUGACACCGCUACCAAAUAUGGGCUGUUCUGUAUUUUGUAACCUGCUAACCGAGUGUCGGCCAGGGGUAGUGUAUACAUCUCGAACACCGGACGGAAGUACGUCAGUUGGCGACGUAAAUUGUACAUAUAACUCAAAAUAAGUUGCUCCACUAGCAAGAUGAGUCUGCACCAUUGCCUUCAAGCUACGAGCACCUUUUAUGUCGAACGAGUCAUAUGUCACCGGAUCAACACAAGAAAAAAAUUGAUACGUGAUUGACAGAACUUUCAUUGGCGUCGUUCUGAAGAUUUUACGCCUAAUUCUUUUACGAAGUUCUAUCAAAUCUAUGUUCUGGUUAAAUGACAGUCGCACCGUAUUCUUCGACAAAAAAACAACACCAUUCUCGGUGUGGCAAACCUCACCAUCGUAGUAAAUAACAGCACUAAUACGUUCACUCAUUUUGAAACUCUAACUUUCUUAGCCUCUCUAAAUUGUUUCUGUUAUGACUUAUGUAUUCUAAGAAUAUUUUCUGCCUAAUUUAUAGCUUCAGCCCAAACUUGCUACUGUAGCAAAAUCGCGUCCACGAGGGUGCGAUUUCACAAUUUUUUUCUCAAAUAGCAUCCUGGUAGAAGCGAUUUUAUACUAUUUACUCAGAAACGUUAACAAAAAAAUUAUUUCUUACAUGACCUACUGUAGCAAAAUCGCGUCUACGAGGGCGCGAUUUCAUAAUUUCUUCUCAAAUAACAUCCUCGUAGAAGUAAUUUUAUACUAUUUGCUCAGAAACGUCAAAAAAAAUUUAUUUCUUACAUGACCUACUGUAGCAAAAUCGCGUCCACGAGGGCGCGAUUUCACAAUUUCUUCUCAAAUAGCAUCCUGGUAGAAGCGAUUUUAUACAAUUUGACCAGAAACGUCAACUCGAAAUAAUUUAUUCCGGGACCUAAAAACCCUAAAAAGCCUGAACCCUAAACCCUAAAAGCCAAAAAAACCAAACGUGAAAAAUACGUCAAAAUCGCGUCCCCAGGAACGUGCUACGUGGUAGGACAUCGCGUCCACGUCAACGCGACCUACUAACGAGGAAGGAAAUCGCGCUGAUGUGGACGCGAUGUCUUGCAAUGUACCCUGACAUCGCACUGACGUGGACGCAAUUUCUCGGAAAAUGGACCAUUCCGGUAAAUAAUCAAAAAUUCAACCCAUUUCGGUAAAUUUAAAAAAAACGGUUUUUUGGUAAAUUAGCCAAAAUUCACAAGCCCACCAAAAAACAAAAACAUAACCCAACAGUAGCAAAAAAAAAUCUUAAAACAUGUACCAAAACAAACAAAUUAAAAAAACUAAACAGAAAAUUAAAAUAAAUUUCCAGUCUGAUCACAGUUGGAAUCCAAUCAGCAUAUCCGUAAUUAAUGCACCAAUUCCAGUCCCCAGAAAAGCGAUUUCCAAACCCAUCAACUAUCUCAUUUUCUUUUUUUCUUUCUACGCAAAGACCACCUAUCGAACAACCCUCAAUCAGGUUUUCUUUUUCUCCGCAGAUCCACCUCCGAUGUUCAUUGCUCAAGGACCCUUCUGAUUAGGUAUGCUCGCGAAUCUUCUUUCAUCGCCUCUCUAGCUAAGUUGUGAGCCAUAAGAUUUGCAGAUAUGUAUGUAUGUUGAAAGGCUAUUUGGUGAAAAGAUUGCUUUUGCUGCUGAAUGUUUUAUAUUAUACCCCCAAUCACCAAUUUAUCAGUCUUAUCUGAUUUACUUUUUUUUAUUAUUGAUACUGAGUCUCCUUCGAUGAUAACUAAUAUGAACCCCAUCUGUUUUCCCAUAAACACUGCUUUGAGGCACGCUAGGGCCCCUACUGCAAACGAAAAGGCCACCUCUCCGUGAACCACUGUUUUGAAGGCGAAGACCUCUCCUGAGGCAUUUCUAACCACCACCCCUGAGACUCAUUUUAUCCGAGAUUUAUCAAAAGCGACGUCGAAAUUAAGAUUGACAAUGGAACCAACUAAUAGGCACCAACCCAUAGACUCGUACCUCAUGGUAAAAUCUCGAACCUCACACCCAUAAGGUUCCUUAAUAUAUUUGUUUAUCCAUGCAGUAACUUCUGGGCCCGUACUUUUUUUUCUCUCGUGUAAUCCUUUGUUUUUGCCCGUCUAAAUCGCCUAAAAAGGGCAACAAAAUACUCAAUAUUGAAUGAUGGAACUAUUCUUGAACACCCAAGUAAGCCACUCCCAAUGUAACAAAAUCAAAUUUGUUAAUACCCAUUCCAGAUUCAAAUUAAUCCAAACUUCUCGCAUCAUAGGGCAUUCUCUGAAGAUAUGAUCGAUGUUUUCAACAGUUGCUCUAUAUCUGGGACAUACUACCACUGAUAGGAAUCUCUUACACCGAAGAUUAACAAAGUGGGGAAUAAAAUUCCAAGAAAUUUUCCACAUUAGGAUUUUAAUUUUCCAUGGAAUGUGAAUAUUCCAUAAUUUUUUGUAAAAUAAAUUAGCCUUUAGCCUGUAAAUAAUUAGGAAGAAAGCCAUUUAAAAGUUUGUAAGCACUUCGCACAGAGAAUUCUUUUGAGGCCUCCCCUUUCCAUACUAUGAAGUCCACAUGAGGUUCCAUUGCUAAGGGAAUUCGAACAAUUCUAUUUGCCUCUUCUCUGAAGAAGGUAGACAAAAUUAAGUCAAACUUUCAUUCUCUCUUUUGUUCAUCAAUAAGAUCCAUUACUUUACCUGAGUUCACACUGUCAUUCCUAAUUGAUUCUGCCUUAUAACUUACAGAUCCAGGGAGCCACGCAUCAGUAGCAAUUAAAAUAUUCUAACUCGUUUCCACCCUCCAACAAAUCCCAGUCUUUAGCAAUCUUUUAAUUUCCCAUACACUCUUCCAGAUAUAUGAAGGUAGUUGUCCUAACUCAAAAUUAAGAAAAUCUAUAUUUGGAAAGUACUUAGCCUUUAGAACUUUCGUUAAUAAUGAAUCUAAAUAAUUAAGAAUACGCUAACCUUGUUUAGCUAAUAACGCAACAUUAAAUUGGAUAAACUAUGGAAUCCCAUACCCCUAUUCUCCUUAAGAUCGCAAAGUCGUUCCCAACUGCACCAAUAAACCCCUUUUCGACCUUGUCCUUUUUACCACCAAAACUGAGCCAUUAUGCUACCCAAUUCCAUACACAAAGACUUUGGAAGUAAAGAACAGGUCAUAGUGUAAGUGGGUAUCGCCUGUAAAUCAACUUUAAUAAACACUUCCUUAACUCAUUGAGAAAGGAACCUCACAUUCCAAUUCUCAAUCUGUUGCCUCAUGCAAUCAUUUAAGAGCUGAAAAGAAACUUUUUUAUUUUUCCCCACAACAUUCGGCAAACCAAGAUAUCUUUCCAUAUUAUUUGAAUUUCUCACCCCAAGAAUAUUAGAAACAACUCGCCUAGACUCUUCGGAAGUGUUGCUACUAUAAAAAACUAUUGAUUUGUCGUAAUUGACGCAUUGCCCCUAGCAUAUUUUAUAUUCCCUUAGGAUUGAUUUCAAAACUUGUACACCCCUCUCGCUAGCUUCUCCAAACAAUAUACUAUCAUCAGCAAACAAUAAAUGAGAAACCGACAGACCCUCUCUACUUGUCUUUGCUCCCUUAAUCGACCCUCCCUCGAGGCCAUCUUCAUAAGUGUUGAAAGGCCCUCACUACAAAUUAAAAAUAAGAAGGUACUAAUGUCAUGGGGCUAGAUCUUUCAUCUCGCGAUCUAUGCGGCCUUAGGCGAUCCGUUUGCUCAAAACUCGCCUAAGUCAGCCUUUACACCCAAAAAUGAGGAUUCCUUUAGAAUUCCUCAAAGGCACCAAUUUGUAUAUCUGAAGAGAUUAUGCCAAAAGAAGCUACAAAUGAACAACAAAAAGCCAAAGAAAGAAUGCACACAAAGUGUUUGAGUAAAUGUUCAAAGAAUUCUAUUACUCUUAAGAAUUCAACAUACAAUGGAUGAUUUACAAGUGGGAGAGAUGCUCUCUAUUUAUAGUUGAGCUCCUCCAAAAUCGAUGGUCCAGAUUAAAAUACAUUGAUGGACGAGAUCAGUCUAUCCCUUAAUUUUGGGAAUUUACAAGAUUACAUCAUAUCAUAUCAAAUCUAUAAGAUAUGAUUUCCCUACUUACUAAAAAUAGCCUAUGUUGCCAUAUCUUCAUUAUCGGGCCAACCAGGCUUUAAUAUGACAGGUUUCUCUAAUAGUUCUUAGAAUCAGGCCAGUUCUCAUUGGCUAAAUAUUCCCAAUCUAAUCGAUCAACCUCAAUGAGGCGCAUUUUGUGCCAUGGUCACGGGAUUUGCACUUUGGCCCGUGACAUUCUCCCCCACCCAUUUUCGAAAUGCCCUCGUUGUGACUUCUGAAUGACAUUGACUUGAUUCACCUUGGAACUCUCUCGUUGCCUUGGCUUCUUCCUGACUUGUUUCGCGAUUGGGUUGUUCCUUCUUUCGAAACAUUUUUCUCGGCUUCCAUUGUCUCUUAACUUGAACUGUUGCACUCGUUGGUACAUCCCGUUGGCAAGAAGUCUCCGCUCUAACUUGCCCCAAUUUUGACUUGUUACUAUUGGAAUCCCCUUGAUUCUCACAUCUUGGCUUUGUAUCGCCCAUAGUCCAUCGGCCUCCUUGCUUAAGAACUUUGAAAGGGCCCCUACGACCUUGCCAAGCCAACAAGUUAGAAUUCAAAACACUAUCAGAGUGUUCGCAAUGUACCUUACUCUCAGUAUUUACUCGUUUUGAAUGCUUUUACAUCGCUUCUUUCCCUUCGAAGUCCAAUACACAACUCACCCUUCCCAAAGGUGGCGGCUCCACAAUCAACUUCACAAGCAUCAUAUCGUUCUCAUGCUCCAUUAACUUUUUCAAAUGGGCUUUCGUAGUAUUUCGUUCUAUCGAGUUAAUGUUUCUCCCAUGUGAAACAUCUUUAACUAGUUGGAUUGAUGACAACACCUUGGUCCCAACCUUCAUAUCUCGAUGCACCAGUACAACAAUCUUUGAUAAUGGACCAAUGCAAAUAUGAAUUUGAUCGGCCCAUGGAUAAAGAACUGUCUAAAUCUUGUCAAGAAAGUUUAAGCCAAAUACAUAAUCAUAAUCAUCUAAUUGGAUUACCUCAAAGUUUUUCUUGCCCUUCCAUUCGCCGAUUUGUAGCUCCACAUUACGAACUAUUCUCACAGUUGGGGCCUCUUCAAAAUUUACCAUCUUAAUCUUUCUAUUUGAUUUCUUAAUUGAGAGACCAAGUUUCUCCACAGCCUUUUUCGAUAUGAACAAGUCUGAUGCUCCCGUAUUGACAAGAACACUCCACUUCUGACUGGUAAUGUUGAUGUCUACAAACAUCAACCCUUCUCCACCAUUCAUUUUCUUAAGAAUGAGCACCAUCGAAUUGACCCUCGAUGUCUUUUUCUCAAAAGGUUUCACCUCUUCCUUC